AACGAACGCUGGCGGCAGGCCUAACACAUGCAAGUCGAGCGAGGACUUCGGUCCUAGCGGCGGACGGGUGAGUAACGCGUGGGAACGUGCCCUUUGCUUCGGAAUAGCCCUGGGAAACUGGGAGUAAUACCGGAUGAGCCCUUUGGGGGAAAGAUUUAUCGGCGAAGGAUCGGCCCGCGUUGGAUUAGGUAGUUGGUGGGGUAAUGGCCUACCAAGCCGACGAUCCAUAGCUGGUUUGAGAGGAUGAUCAGCCACACUGGGACUGAGACACGGCCCAGACUCCUACGGGAGGCAGCAGUGGGGAAUCUUAGACAAUGGGGGAAACCCUGAUCUAGCCAUGCCGCGUGAGCGAUGAAGGCCUUAGGGUUGUAAAGCUCUUUAAGCUGGGAAGAUAAUGACGGUACCAGCAGAAGAAGCCCCGGCUAACUCCGUG
rnacentral:rRNA from 1 species